rfam:Triticum aestivum genome assembly, contig: Triticum_aestivum_CS42_TGACv1_scaffold_221722_3B
AUUCUACUCCCUCCGUUGCACAAUACAUGCCUUCUAUUUGUCAAAAUAUAUAUGUAUCUAGACAUGUUUUAGUAUAUAGGUACAUCCAUUUUUGGACAAAUGGAAGUCAAGUAUUUUGGAACGGUGGAAGUACAUA